rnacentral:rRNA from 1 species
GAUGAACGCUGGCGGCGUGCCUAAUACAUGCAAGUCGAGCGAACAGACGAGGAGCUUGCUCCUCUGACGUUAGCGGCGGACGGGUGAGUAACACGUGGAUAACCUACCUAUAAGACUGGGAUAACUUCGGGAAACCGGAGCUAAUACCGGAUAAUAUAUUGAACCGCAUGGUUCAAUAGUGAAGGACGGUUUUGCUGUCACUUGUAGAUGGAUCCGCGCCGCAUUAGCUAGUUGGUAAGGUAACGGCUUACCAAGGCAACGAUGCGUAGCCGACCUGAGAGGGUGAUCGGCCACACUGGAACUGAGACACGGUCCAGACUCCUACGGGAGGCAGCAGUAGGGAAUCUUCCGCAAUGGGCGAAAGCCUGACGGAGCAACGCCGCGUGAGUGAUGAAGGUCUUCGGAUCGUAAAACUCUGUUAUUAGGGAAGAACAAAUGUGUAAGUAACUAUGCACGUCUUGACGGUACCUAAUCAGAAAGCCACGGCUAACUACGUG